GCGCCUGUAGCUCAAAGGAGUAGAGUGCUGGCCCCAUAUGCCAAAGGUGGCAGGUUCAAACCCAGCCCUGGCCCA
rnacentral:tRNA from 1 species